rnacentral:lncRNA from 1 species
UUUCAAAGCCUUUCCCCCUUUUCUUUCAAGCACCCGACCCUUGGGUUUCUUAUCCCCUGAGCGCCACCGCCACAGCCAUAAAGACCGGUGGCCGACGAUGAAGGAGAGACCCCCCGGCGGCAUGGUCACGGCCAACUCCGGUGAGUUUCUCUUCCCCUUAUUUUUGCUUUUGAUUUUUUUAUUAUAGUUAUUUAAAAUAGAUUUGCAAAAGAAGGAAAAAUAAAAUAAAAAUAAAAUAAGAUAACAAAUAAAUAAAUAAAUAAGGAAAAACGAAGAGGAAAUAACAAGGAUUCCACCUUUUUAAAAUUUCUAUUCGGCUUUUGAUUUCUGAUGUGAGUAAAAAAAUACCAAGAUUAGAUCCAGGUUUUUAUAGACUUAUACAACUAUUAAUAAAUUUUUUAUCUGCCUAUAUUUGUCAUUACUGUUGGCAUGCUCCUGUUAUUGCAUUUAAUUUGCAGAAGUUUCAAGGCCGACGGUGGUGGCAGAGGCAUGCGUGAGGAGGCUGGCGGCUAGGGGUGUCAGACGCGUGGGAAAGCUAGGGUUUCCUGCUGCAAUUUUUUAAUUUUGUUGGGCUUUAGGUGUAGGUGUUUAUUUUUUAC